CCUACGGGAGGCAGCAGUGAGGAAUAUUGGUCAAUGGACGAGAGUCUGAACCAGCCAAGUAGCGUGAAGGAUGACUGCCCUAUGGGUUGUAAACUUCUUUUAUAUGGGAAUAAAAUGUUCCACGUGUGGGAUUUUGUAUGUACCAUAUGAAUAAGGAUCGGCCAACUCCGUGCCAGCAGCCGCGGUAAUACGGAGGAUCCGAGCGUUAUCCGGAUUUAUUGGGUUUAAAGGGAGCGUAGGUGGAUUGUUAAGUCAGUUGUGAAAGUUUGCGGCUCAACCGUAAAAUUGCAGUUGAAACUGGCAGUCUUGAGUACAGUAGAGGUGGGCGGAAUUCGUGGUGUAGCGGUGAAAUGCUUAGAUAUCACGAAGAACUCGGAUUGCGAAGGCAGUUCACUGGACUGCAACUGACACUGAGGCUCGAAAGUGUGGGUAUCAAACAGGAUUAGAUACCCUAGUAGUC
rnacentral:rRNA from 1 species